GCUGCUGCUUAGCGACCCAAAGGAGAGUGCCACCGAGCACGUGCAAGCAGCGCAUGCAAAAUGUACUCUGACAUACACCUCUUGUAAUUAAAGUGCAAAGUGAAAGGUA